AGAGUUUGAUCAUGGCUCAGGAUGAACGCUAGCGGCAGGCCUAAUACAUGCAAGUCGAACGCUCAGUAGCAAUACUGGGAGUGGCGCACGGGUGCGUAACGCGUACACAAUCUACCUCUAAGCGGGGGACACCUCCUGGAAACGGGGAUUAAUACCGCAUAAUAUGCCGAGGUCGCAUGACUUUGGUAUUGAAGCAGCAAUGCACUUAGAGAUGAGUGUGCGUCCCAUCAGGUAGUUGGUGAGGUAACGGCUCACCAAGCCUAUGAUGGGUAGCCGGUCUGAGAGGAUGGUCGGCCACACGGGCACUGAGACACGGGCCCGACUCCUACGGGAGGCAGCAGUAAGGAAUAUUGGUCAAUGGUGGAAACACUGAACCAGCCAUGCCGCGUGGAGGAAUAAGGUCCUACGGAUUGUAAACUCCUUUUGACGAGGAAGAAAGUGUUAGAUUUAUCUAAUUUUGACGGUACUCGUAGAAUAAGCACCGGCUAACUCCGUG
rnacentral:rRNA from 1 species